rnacentral:rRNA from 1 species
UACGUAGGAGACGAGCGUUGUCCGGAUUUACUGGGCGUAAAGAGCGCGCAGGCGGUCGUUCAAGUCGAGUGUGAAAGCCCCCGGCUCAACUGGGGAGGGUCACUCGAUACUGAUCGACUCGAAGGCAGGAGAGGGUAGUGGAAUUCCCGGUGUAGUGGUGAAAUGCGUAGAUAUCGGGAGGAACACCAGUGGCGAAGGCGACUACCUGGCCUGUUCUUGACGCUGAGGCGCGAAAGCUAGGGGAGCAAACGGG